rnacentral:rRNA from 1 species
UACGGGGGGGGCAAGCGUUGUUCGGAAUUACUGGGCGUAAAGGGCGCGUAGGCGGCACGGCAAGUCGGGAGUGAAAGCCCGGGGCUCAACCCCGGAGGGUCUCUCGAAACUGCCGAGCUAGAGUGCGGAAGAGGCAAUCGGAAUUCCCAGUGUAGCGGUGAAAUGCGUAGAUAUCAAGAGGAACACCAGUGGCGAAGGCGAGUCCCUGGACAACACCUGACACUGAGGCACGAAAGCUAGGGGAGCAAACAGG